rnacentral:rRNA from 1 species
GUCGAGCGGAACGAUGGUAGCUUGCUACCAGGCGUCGAGCGGCGGACGGGUGAGUAAUACUUAGGAAUCUACCUAGUAGUGGGGGAUAGCACGGGGAAACUCGUAUUAAUACCGCAUACGACCUACGGGAGAAAGGGGGCAGUUUACUGCUCUCGCUAUUAGAUGAGCCUAAGUCGGAUUAGCUAGAUGGUGGGGUAAAGGCCUACCAUGGCGACGAUCUGUAGCUGGUCUGAGAGGAUGAUCAGCCACACCGGGACUGAGACACGGCCCGGACUCCUACGGGAGGCAGCAGUGGGGAAUAUUGGACAAUGGGGGAAACCCUGAUCCAGCCAUGCCGCGUGUGUGAAGAAGGCCUUUUGGUUGUAAAGCACUUUAAGCAGUGAAGAAGACUCUUCGGUUAAUACCCGGAGACGAUGACAUUAGCUGCAGAAUAAGCACCGGCUAACUCUGUGCCAGCAGCCGCGGUAAUACAGAGGGUGCAAGCGUUAAUCGGAAUUACUGGGCGUAAAGCGAGCGUAGGUGGCUUGAUAAGUCAGAUGUGAAAUCCCCGGGCUUAACCUGGGAACUGCAUCUGAAACUGUUAGGCUAGAGUAGGUGAGAGGGAAGUAGAAUUUCAGGUGUAGCGGUGAAAUGCGUAGAGAUCUGAAGGAAUACCGAUGGCGAAGGCAGCUUCCUGGCAUCAUACUGACACUGAGGCUCGAAAGCGUGGGUAGCAAACAGGAUUAGAUACCCUGGUAGUCCACGCCGUAAACGAUGUCUACUAGUCGUUGGGUCCCUUGAGGACUUAGUGACGCAGCUAACGCAAUAAGUAGACCGCC